rnacentral:misc_RNA from 1 species
GGCUCUGCACUCUGUUGCUCUUUAUUUUUGAGAUAUCAACCCUUGCCUUAGUUCCAACACACCUACUUCCUUCUUGCAUUUACACCUCUUUAUUUUUGUAUCUCACUAUCCUUCAAUGUCUCAACAUGUUUGAAUACGAACCUAAUGUCAUAGAAAUCAUCAAUGAGGCCAUGAAUCUUCACUGUCAAGAUACUGUUCUCCAACUAGUUAAAAGCCAGGAAGCUACAUCUAUCUCACAGUGAUGGGUUUUAAUGGGUAAAAUCUUCUCUCACAAAACCUUUAGUCAAGGGAUCGUUAAGGUAGCUCUCAUGAAGGCAUGGAACCCUAGAAGAGGGUUUCAUAUUACUGCAAAAAGAAACAAUUCCUUCAUCUUCACUUUUGAGCAAGAGGUAGAUGCUCAAAAUGUUUUGAGAAAUCGCCCUUGGAAUGUCCAUAACCAACAUGUUGCUUUGCAGGAAUGACCACCAUAUUUGGCCUUUGAUGGAUUGGCUAUCACAUAGUCCCCUUUUUGGCUACAAUACAUGGGCUACCUCCAAUACAGAUUAAUUUGGAAAAUGCAAGAAUUACUGGGAAUCUGGUGGAAACUUUCGAGGCUUAUUUAUCUCAAGAAGAUCUUAUUGGGUAUCAUAGCUUCCUACAAAUUAGAGUUGACAUACCACUGAAUAAGCCAUUUUGCCCUGGGUUCCACAGCAAAAAACCAAAUGGCGAUAUAUAAUGGAUAACGCUGCACUAUGAGAAACUCCCAGACAUAUGCUUUGGAUGUGGGAUUA